rnacentral:piRNA from 1 species
UAGGAAGAUUAGGUGGAUUCU